AAGCGGGUUAAAGAUUCCACCAGGGUAACCAACUUCACCCUUAGGUAAGCUGUAUUGCUUAAAGAUAGGGUCUUGGUUCACACUUCCUGGGUUCUUGAUGUCUUGCCACCGUCUGAUCUCAACGUAAUGAAACAAUAUGAACUCGAUCACGAACAAUGUCGACGACGAUGCAAAAUACUGCUCUUUCCCAGCAUCGUACCACUCAGGAACAUUUAUGAUUCCUACCAACAGUUUUGACAAUGUGUUAAGUUCUUGAAAGAAGUUAUAAAUUGUUUUAAGGUCAUGUUAAUGGUAACUCACCGAUCUUGGUGAAAACUUCCGGCAAAAGCAUCCCAGCGACACCGAGCAUAGCCCAUCGUCCGUUGACCAGCUCUGCCUGGACGAACCAUUUCAAGUUCUCUGGAUCCUCUGCUAGACCCAACGGGUCAAACCCAUUGUCACCGGCAAGACUGCAAUAUGUAUAAGAGUGAGUGAGUGACCAUUAUUAACUAAACCGGUAUCAACCAAGUCCGGUCUAACCUAACCAAUCCAAACUGAUUAGUCACGGUUGUGUUCAAACAAAUUCCUAUACACUUAAACUAAACCGGUAUCGGACUGUCCUAAGCUAACCAAAUCGAUUACCAUGUUGGUUCCGGUUGUGUUAAACCGAAAUUGAAUGUAGUUUGCAAAACAUUACCUGCCGGUGAGAUAAUCAGGCGAUGCCAAACCGGGCAACCAUUCUCCUUUCUUAGCUUCAACCUUGAACGACGACGUUUUGGCCGAUGAACCGAUCGAUGUAAACGACAAGUCGCGGUUCAACCUACCGGAAGAACCGGUGAGGAAUCUUGGCUUUGAAGUACAAGGUCGGAAAAUCGAGGCCGAGGCAUGAGUAGUGACAGUAGCCAUUAUCCCUAGCUAGACUUAGAAGAUCCGACCCGAGAACCCGGCACUUGAAGAAGAAUGGAUUGGAAUCAAGAGAGAUUGAAAGAUGAGUUCAGAGAUGGUUGUGAAG
rnacentral:lncRNA from 1 species